rnacentral:rRNA from 1 species
UGGGGAAUAUUGCACAAUGGGCGCAAGCCUGAUGCAGCCAUGCCGCGUGUAUGAAGAAGGCCUUCGGGUUGUAAAGUACUUUCAGCGAGGAGGAAGGCAUAAAGGUUAAUAACCUUUGUGAUUGACGUUACUCGCAGAAGAAGCACCGGCUAACUCCGUGCCAGCAGCCGCGGUAAUACGGAGGGUGCAAGCGUUAAUCGGAAUUACUGGGCGUAAAGCGCACGCAGGCGGUUUGUUAAGUCAGAUGUGAAAUCCCCGCGCUUAACGUGGGAACUGCAUUUGAAACUGGCAAGCUAGAGUCUUGUAGAGGGGGGUAGAAUUCCAGGUGUAGCGGUGAAAUGCGUAGAGAUCUGGAGGAAUACCGGUGGCGAAGGCGGCCCCCUGGACAAAGACUGACGCUCAGGUGCGAAAGCGUGGGGAGCAAACA